GGGGCCGUAGCUCAGUUGGGAGAGCGCUUCCAUGGCAUGGAAGAGGUCGUGGGUUCGAUUCCCAUCGGCUCCA
rnacentral:tRNA from 3 species